CCCUACGGGUGCAGCAGGCUGUUGAAGCAAAGGAGGGUGUGGAGAUUCACCGGGAGAGCAGGGGGCUGUCUUCCAUCACUUAUCAGAAAUUUUUCACGAUGUAUCAGCGGUUGUCCGGCAUGACGGGUACGACGUGGACUGCCCGCCAUGAACUGUCAAAGACAUAUCAUCUGAAAGUACGGAGCAUUUUGCCGAAUAAACCAUGCAUCCGGAUAGACCGUCCGGACCGAUGUGUUGGCUCAUAUGCGGAUAAGCUUGAGGCGCUUGCCGAUACGGCUGAGAAAGCCUUUGCGGAAAAAAGACCGGUGCUCGUCGGUACGCCGAACAUCGGGGUCAGUGAGAAAGUAUCUGCACUGCUGGCCGGGCGGGGGAGC
rnacentral:rRNA from 1 species